UACGUAGGGGGCAAGCGUUGUCCGGAUUUAUUGGGCGUAAAGAGCGUGUAGGCGGCCAUGCAGGUCCGUUGUGAAAACCCGAGGCUUAACCUCGGGACGUCGAUGGAAACCGCAUGGCUAGAGUCCGGAAGAGGAGAGUGGAAUUCCUGGUGUAGCGGUGAAAUGCGCAGAUAUCAGGAAGAACACCCGUGGCGAAGGCGGCUCUCUGGGACGGUACUGACGCUGAGACGCGAAAGCGUGGGGAGCGAACGGG
rnacentral:rRNA from 1 species